GCAUUCCAUGUGAUGUCACCAGUGUUGUGGCAACACCAACUGUCAUUGGGGCAUUGGUGCAGUGUCUCAUGUUUCACUGACAGACAUGCUGACUAGACUAAACAGGAUUCUUGGGAGACAGGAUGGCGAGCACAGGGAGAUCAGAGGAAGACAGAAGGAAAAUGGCCUUCAGCCUCCAAGUCACACACCAAGAAACAAAUGGUUCUGGGGAAAGCACAGGACUGCUAGGAAGGCAUCAUCCACACCCUUCUUCCUCACUGAGCAGGAGCAGCUGAACCAGGUGGAAAAACUGAAACUUCACCUACAGAUGAUGACAAAUGACAGGAAUGAACUGCGUGAAUUCCUGGCCCAUUACAACAAUGAGUUGAACAACAGGUAUUCAUCAUGCCCUGUUCUCUGGUGAAUGUCUUGACCCUACUGUGUCAAUUCCAGCAGUCCUUGGGUCACUGGAAGCUGCACCUGCAGGGCGACCUGCAC